AGAGUUUGAUCCUGGCUCAGGACUAACGCUGGCGGCGUGCCUAACACAUGCAAGUCGAACGGGGUAGCAAUACCCAGUGGCAGACGGGUGAGUAACACGUGGUCAACCUGCCUUUGCGUGGGGGAUAACUAGCCGAAAGGUUAGCUAAUACCGCAUACGAUCGCUUCGGGGCAUCUCGAGGCGAUGAAAGGAGCAAUCCG
rnacentral:rRNA from 1 species